rnacentral:misc_RNA from 1 species
GCAAACUUGGUCAUUUAGAGGAAGUAAAAGUCGUAACAAGGUUUCCGUAGGUGAACCUGCGGAAGGAUCAUUAACGAACUCUUCGUGAUCAUAUUGUGAGGCGGCGGGGGAUCGCGCAAUGCUUUCCUCCGACCGUACCACGGCAUUGCCCAGCAACGAUCCGAUGACUGCUCCCCUAGGGAGAGGUAUGUUCGGGGAGUUGGGCAUUUCCGUUUCAACCCAACUUGUUAACCAAAACACAAAACCUUUGCUUCGGCAGCACGUUAACCCGCAGCGCCUCUAGGGGUGCGGUGGGUCGGGCGGUAAGGCUGCCAGAAGCCCCCCAUUUACAAACCAGUUGAUGCCAAAAUUCAUUGCAGUCUGAACAGAUAGACCAUUUCUUAUGGAAAAUCAUAUUAAAACUUUCAGCAACGGAUCUCUUGGUUCCCGCAUCGAUGAAGAACGCAGC